rnacentral:rRNA from 1 species
AGAGUUUGAUCCUGGCUCAGGAUGAACACUAGCGGCAGGCUUAACACAUGCAAGUCGAAGGGCAUCGCGGGGAGUGCUUGCACUCCCUGGCGGCGACUGGCGCACGGGUGAGUAACACGUAUGCAACCUGCCCUCCACAGGGGGACAACCUUCCGAAAGGGAGGCUAAUCCCGCGUAAAUCUCGAUGGGGCAUCCCAUUGAGAGGAAAGCUUCGGCGGUGGAGGAUGGGCAUGCGGCGCAUUAGCUAGUCGGCGGGGUAACGGCCCACCGAGGCGACGAUGCGUAGGGGUUCUGAGAGGAAGGUCCCCCACACUGGUGCUGAGACACGGACCAGACUCCUACGGGAGGCAGCAGUGAGGAAUAUUGGUCAAUGGGCGGGAGCCUGAACCAGCCAAGCCGCGUGAGGGAAUAAGGCCCUAUGGGUCGUAAACCUCUUUUGUCGGGGAACAAAAGCGGGGACGCGUCCCCGUCUGCGUGUACCCGAAGAAAAAGCAUCGGCUAACUCCGUGCCAGCAGCCGCGGUAAUACGGAGGAUGCGAGCGUUAUCCGGAUUUAUUGGGUUUAAAGGGUGCGUAGGCGGUAUGGUAAGUCAGCGGUAAAAGCCCGGGGCUCAACCCCGGCGAGCCGUUGAAACUGCCGUGCUAGAGAGGAAGAGAAGUAGGCGGAAUGCGCAGUGUAGCGGCGAAAUGCUUAGAUAUCACGCAGAACGCCGAUUGCGAAGGCAGCUUACCGGCGCUCAACUGACGCUGAGGCACGAAAGUGCGGGUAUCGAACAGGAUUAGAUACCCUGGUAGUCCGCACAGUAAACGA